GAGUUUGAUCCUGGCUCAGAUUGAACGCUGGCGGCAGGCCUAACACAUGCAAGUCGAACGGUAACAGGAAACAGCUUGCUGUUUCGCUGACGAGUGGCGGACGGGUGAGUAAUGUCUGGGAAACUGCCUGAUGGAGGGGGAUAACUACUGGAAACGGUAGCUAAUACCGCAUAACGUCGCAAGACCAAAGAGGGGGACCUUCGGGCCUCUUGCCAUCGGAUGUGCCCAGAUGGGAUUAGCUAGUAGGUGGGGUAAUGGCUCACCUAGGCGACGAUCCCUAGCUGGUCUGAGAGGAUGACCAGCCACACUGGAACUGAGACACGGUCCAGACUCCUACGGGAGGCAGCAGUGGGGAAUAUUGCACAAUGGGCGCAAGCCUGAUGCAGCCAUGCCGCGUGUAUGAAGAAGGCCUUCGGGUUGUAAAGUACUUUCAGCGGGGAGGAAGGGAGUAAAGUUAAUACCUUUGCUCAUUGACGUUACCCGCAGAAGAAGCACCGGCUAACUCCGUGCCAGCAGCCGCGGUAAUACGGAGGGUGCAAGCGUUAAUCGGAAUUACUGGGCGUAAAGCGCACGCAGGCGGUUUGUUAAGUCAGAUGUGAAAUCCCCGGGCUCAACCUGGGAACUGCAUCUGAUACUGGCAAGCUUGAGUCUCGUAGAGGGGGGUAGAAUUCCAGGUGUAGCGGUGAAAUGCGUAGA
rnacentral:rRNA from 1 species